GGAGUGGCAGCAACUGGAGGAAGCAGAAUGUCCCCGAGCAAGAUUGUCAAGAGAAAAAAGUUACAUGUAUAAAAUCUACAGUAGAAUUGGAAGAUGGAUCUAAUGAGAAUAACACUAAGGAAACACCAUCCUUCAAAAACUAAAAGCUCCUUGAUGAGACAAGAAAAUGAAGUGUCCCAGAAGAGGAAAUGCAGUAAGUGUUGGGGAUAAAAAGAAGCAUCAGCCAUUUUCAUUUCACGUGGGAAGAACAAUAUGAGACAAACAACCUAAGAUUAAAUGAAACCAGUUGGAUUGGAGAGAUGCAUUUACAUUUUACCACCUG
rnacentral:lncRNA from 1 species